ACUCCUACGGGAGGCAGCAGUGGGGAAUAUUGCACAAUGGGCGCAAGCCUGAUGCAGCAACGCCGCGUGAGCGAUGAAGGCCUUCGGGUCGUAAAGCUCUGUCCUCAAGGAAGAAUAAAUGACGGUACUUGAGGAGGAAGCCCGGCUAACUACGUGCCAGCAGCCGCGGUAAUACGUAGGGGGCAAGCGUUAUCCGGAAUCACUGGGGCGUAAAGGGUGCGUAGGCGGUUUUCAAGUCAGAAGUGAAAGGCUAUGGCUCAACCAUAGUAAGCUUUUGAAACUGUUAAACUUGAGUGCAGGAGAGGAAAGUGGAAUUCCUAGUGUAGAGGUGAAAUUCGUAGAUAUUAGGAGGAACACCAGUGGCGAAGGCGACUUUCUGGACUGUAACUGACGCUGAGGCACGAAAGCGUGGGGAGCGAACAGGAUUAGAUACCCUGGUAGCACAGAG
rnacentral:rRNA from 1 species